UACAUCCACUCUAUCCAAUCCUUUCACUAUUCUGUAUGUUUCAAUGAGGUCCCCUCUCUUUCUUCUAAACUCCAGCGAGUACAGGCCCAGUGCCGACAAACACUCAUCAUAGGUUAAUCAACUCAUUCCUGGGAGCAUUCUUGUAAACCAUCUCUGGACCCUAUCCAG